ACUGAGUGUACGCUGGUAAAAGUUAAAAGCAGAAACGAACUGAAAACAGAGAGAGAGAGAGUAAGACAGGAACCACUGAAGCUGCUGUAAAGUGUAGAGACAGACAGGCGCAGACACUGACAGUCAGUAGUGAACACAAACUGUGGUCCACAUUAAUGCAGAGUUACAUGUAAGAGGGGAUUUAAAUAAAACAUCUGAGACACAGAAAGACUUCAGGUAACAAGAUGUUGUCUACAAAGGGGGAGCAGAGAACAUUCAGCAAUGGGCGUCUGAGAGACCAGUGGGAGAAGAGAGCCCAGAGCAUCGCCGACGACAACAAAAAAGAGGAACAAUGGAAGCAGAAAAGUUCCACCAAUCUAUAACUGGUCCAAAGGUACUUGUUUAUGGAGCUUGGGCUGACUUGAAAAGACGCAGAAGUUUGUUUCUGGUCAAACAUUUUUAAAAAGCUACUCUCAAAAUGGAACUAUCACUGGCUGGUUGCUAAUGGAGACAAGAUGAAAGAUGGCAUGAGUGAGUUUAAGAGGGUCACAAGUGGUGCAGCUGAAGCAGAAAAAAACAAGCCCAGAAUUCGAUUCAAAGUUGUCCCUCCUCCUCCCAAACCCAAAGCCGAGCCUCCUCCUCCACCACCUCCUCCGAGAAGGUCAACAUCACCCAGACUUCGAAGGCAAAAGCGCAAAGUAGAGGUUGAUGCAUUUCGAAUUUGCUGGAAGGACUCCUGGAUGAGCUUGAAGCCACCAAAGUAUCUUUUUCUGAAAGCCCAAGAGUUGCAAACCAGAAUUCUAGGGUUCACAACCAUAGAGCUAACUAAGAACAGCAAGUACAAAGCAAAGGGAAGCGGACUGAAGGGUGAAUGGAUGUUUCCUGCUCAUAAGUGGAAUCAAUCCUGGAAACAGGUGAAGAGUCCAGGCCAGGUGGAGCUUUCUGAGGCAAAACAGUUUCACUGGGAUAUUCUAUUUCAAAGAGAGAACGUUUGUAAGGUUGCGAUAGAAACAUAUUCUCUUCCUGUUUGGGCUGGUACCUGGAAGAUCAUGAACUUUCCCUUCAGGCAGGAGAAAAAGGACUGGGAUCAUAUCUGGACUGACUACCAACAAAACCUAACCAACAACUUUGAUCAAAUACAACAGCUAGAGGAGGAGGAUGAACCCUUUGACUGGGAGGAUUCAUGGAAAAUGUCUGGAGCAGAUUUUGAAACAAACGACUUCACAGAUGAUGAGACGCUAAGUGAGAGUUCCUUCAGUGCGGACGCUGAAGUUAUGAUGACUAUAACUGAUGUGUGCGUACCAGGAUGGAGCAAAUCCUGGCUACUGUCAGCAGCUCCUCCAGAGGAAGGUGAAGAACGGCAGAAAAGCUGGAGCACUUGCUGGGGAUAUAAGCAGCAGCUCAGGUGGUGCAAAGCUUCUGUAAACUCCAAUCAUCAACACAGUGCCAUGCUGGAGAGAAAACGCAAAGCUACAAACUUCCUCUUCACAUCAGAGUUGGACGAGGAGAUGACAGACACCACUGAGUGGAUGGAGGCCUGGAAGGCUCCAAGAGGAUGGUUUAAGGUAGAGGAGGAGGAAACAGAGGAGGAGGGGGAAGCAGAGGAAAUAUAUGUCAAAGGGGAGGAGGAUGAUGAAGGAGUGAAUAAUGAGGACAGAGAUAUGGAUGAGGAAGAGGAGGAUGGAAAUCUGGAUGGUGUGGAGGAGGAUGAAGGAGUUGAAGAGGAGGAAGCUUUCAAUAAAAAUAAUGUGGACAAAAAACUAGAAAAGGAGAGAAAAAUAGAAAUAGUUAUAGAAAAGAAAGAAAAAGCCCUUAACAAGAAGGCUGAAGAUGAUGAGGAAGAAGAUGAAGGAGUGGAUGAAAAUGAGGAGGAGGAGGAAGAAGAGUAUGAAGAUACUGACAACAAGAAGGAGGGCAAGGAAGAAGACAAUGAAGAGGAACAGGAUGAAGAUGGUGGAAGGGAGGAUGGAAACAAAAAAGGCAAUCAAAAAGAUGACAAUGAAACAGAUAACGAUGAGGAGGAGAAAGAAGAGGAGGAGGUGGAGGAAGGGGAUGAAAAAACUAAGGUAGAGAAGCAGGAAAAAGACACAAAUGAAAAUGAUGAGGGUGAAGUAGAAGAGGAAGAGCAGGACAGUGAAUUGAAUGAAGAUGAAAGGGAUGACAAAGUGGAAAAGCUGAAUGAGGAAGGCACAGACGAAGAAGAGGAAGUGAAUGCAGAAAUAAAGGAAGAAGAGGAGGAGGAAGACAUAGAAGAUGAGGAAGAGGAGAACAAGAAUGGCAUAAAUGAGGAGAAAGGAAACCAUGAUGGUGGCAGGGAUGAAGAUGCAGAGGUAGAUGAGGAAGAGGAGGAAGAUGAAGAUUAUAAUAACAAUGAUGAUGAAACAAAUGUAUGUGAAAAAGAAAAAUACAAAGAGAUGGACAAGAAAGAUAAAGGUGGAGAAGAAGAAGAAGAAGAGGAGGAAGAAGAAGAAUCAAAAGAAGGAAAAGAAGAAGAAGCAAAAGAAAAAGAAGAAGAAGAAGAAGAAGAAGAAGAAGAAGAAGCAAAAGAAGAUGAAGAAGAAGCAAAAGAAGGUGAGGAAGAAGAAGAAGAGGAAGAAGAAGAAGAAGAAGAAGAAGCAAAAGAAAAAGAAGAAGAUGAAGAUGAAGAAGAAGAAGAAGAAGCAAAAGAAGGAGAGGAAGAAGAAGAAGAAGAAGAAGAAGAAGAAGCAAAAGAAAAAGAAGAAGAUGAAGAAGAAGAAGCAAAAGAAGGAGAAGAAGAAGAAGAAGAAGAAGAAGAAGAAGAAGAAGAAGAAGAAAAGGGAGAGGGUGGUGGGGAUGAAAAAAAUGAAACAGAAAGAAAUAAGAGUAGUAGGGUUAAUGUAGAUAAGGAGGAAGAUGAAAAAGAUGAAGAUGAUGACAAAGCUGAUGAAGAUGAAGAAGAGGAUGAUGUGCAAAAGAAUGAAGGCAAUAAUGUAGAUAGCGAGGAUGAAGAAGAAGAGAAGGAAGAAGAGGAUGAAGCAGACAACGACCAGGAGAGUGAUGAGGAUGGUAAAGACAGAGAGGAGAAUGAAAAUGUUGACGAGGAGGAAGGUGGUGUAAUAUUUGAGAAAGAUGAAGAAGAAAUUAAAGAGAAUGACAAAAAAGCUGACCAUCACAAGGAUGAGGAAGAGGAGGAGGAGGAUGAAGAGAAGGAGGCUGGUGAGAAAGAAAAUGAAGCAGAGGUUAUAGUAGAGAAAAACACAGAAGAAGAAAAGAAGGUGAAGAAGUCACAGAAAAGAAUGAAACAUAAGCCCGAUGUCCCGCUCCAUCUGCAGUUCCACAAACUGAACGCCUGCUUUCCCUCCUGGAAGCAGUCAUGGAUGGUGGCAGUAGCUCACAGAGGAGGUUGUGAUGCUGAGGAUGAGGCUUACGAAGAGGGUGAGGAAUCGGAAUUGAGAGCUUGGAAGGACUCAUGGAGGAUUUGUCGCUAUAGAAAGCCAGAUGAUGAUGACGUGGUGUGUUUCUCUAUGGAGCACCGGAGUCAGCGGUAUAUGGGACUGACGCAUGAAGAAGACAGCAUGCCAAACAGUGAGUGGACUCUGAGCUGGAAAAUGAACAAAGAAAAAGAUGAAGAUGCUGAAGAUGAAGAAGAAGAAGAAGAUGAAGAAGAAGAAGAAGAAGAAGAAGAAAGUUAAAAUUUUCUGAGAGGGGAAAUUAGAAGUGCUGGGUAUUAUUUAUACCUGAUAUGAACUAAAUGUGUCAAAAGCUGGGAUUGUCAUGUCUUAUUUCAGAUGCUGACCAGAGAUACUUUUAAUCCAAACUUCUGUUCUGCAUGUUUACGUUUAGGCUAGGCUACUGGAAAACUGCAAAAAGAUAUUUAUUUCAACUGUUGAUGCCAUCAACAACCUCACAUGCCCAGAAGGAAGUAACUAAUACAGUUGGCAACAUGUCUGUGUUUACUUUAGGUCAGAUUUGAAAACUACUGAUGAGUCGUGAUUUUUUUUUUCUUUCUUUACGCUUCUUAUAUAGUUUGGUGCUGUUUUGUGAUCCUUCUUGCUUGAGUGAAUGUCAACAAUGAAAAGUACAAAGUUAGCAUGACAAUUAACGGUAGCUAUGCAAGCUAGCCAACUCUCAGUCGGUAAAAACAAUAGCAUUUACAUAAGCCCGGAAAUCCACAGUUCAUUAUCAGUGGCUUUCAGCAAGAGUUCUCCAGGUUUUCUUAAGGUCUUUGAGAGUUUUUCUUUUCAGUCAUUUUCAGUCCAUUCCUUUUCCUUCCCAUUUUCAGAGAAAUUAUUUUUUGUUGUGUAUUUGUUAAGCAUGAGCCACUUAACACUGGCCACCUAACUCAAUGGAUAAAAGAGUGUAACCUAUGCAUAACAACUGAGCAAAGAACCAGUUUUAAAGCAUUAUUUUACAAAGUUUUUUUUGUUACAAAGACACAUAAUUUAAUAAAACUCAUGAAACAGUAUUUCUGCACAAAACAAACAAUUAUUAAUGGAAAACAUGGCUUAUAUUGACAUGGUGUGCAGAGUGUCCUUAACAACUUUGAGGAAACUGAUCAAAUGGAGGACAAAGAAGGUGCAGAAAAUGAAAACAAUAUGUAACAGUAUCUUUAUCCAGUGUCCUGCAUCUGGCAUUUGAUUCAUCUCCUGUUUCCCAAAGUCCCAUCAGAAGUGGUCUCAGUGGAAAGGUGGCUGUCAAGAAGCCAUUCAUACAGAGGGGAGACAGGGAGAGAGGCUGAGAAGUGCCAAAUUACACAAGUACUGGACUAAAAAUGCAGUGGUUGAAACAAAGAUAAAGUGGUUGACAGCUUAAGAAGAAUGUAGGAAAGGAGCCAAAUGCCAGUUGGCCUCUUUACACUCAGCAUUCGAUGCUAAACUAAUUUGAUAAGUACACUCAGGGAGGAUAUCCUCCAGAAAGGCCAGCAUAAAUUUCACAAUUUAACUUUUAAAAAAGUUAUCCAGAUCAAAAGCAUAAAAUGUUAUGGGUUCUUCACUUGCUGAUGCUCCAGAGCAUCAUUUGAUUAAACUUUAUAAAAUCUUCAUCUUUGACACUAGAAAUUUGAUAUUAAAAAUGAUAACAUACAAGGAAGUGUCCUGCUAUAAGAUUACAUAUUAUUAUUUUCACGUUUACAGUUAUAGCUGCUUUUUCAUCCUGUGUUACUAAAUUUCUGCUAACUGCCUUCUACUGCUAGACUGUUUGUGUCAUUAGACACCAAAGCUCUGAGGGUGUUGUGAAGAUGUACAAUUUACCCCACAUCAAAACAUAAAAAUCAAUAGCCAAGCAGUGAGCAGCUAAUGGCUGUAAUUGGUUAACACAAUGUACUGACGGGGUAAAAUAUGAAGCACUUUAAGAGAGGUGACUGAGGUUUGUCUGAUUUUUAAAGUAAGAAAAUGUCAUAUUGGUGUUGUGUAGAUGGAAGAGGCUGUGCAGAGAUCAGUCUUAAACAUUUAUAUGGUGAUGUGCGUCUUUACUGCACUCUUUUAUGAUACAGUGAAGAUCAAACUGCAACUUUUAUUAAAGUUAUAAACUGUGAAUUUUACAGAAAAAAACUGCGUGUUUGUUUUCGCACAACUUAUUCACACUUAAUAGCACUACAUAAGCACAUUUUCAGUAUUUUAGUUUCUUCCUGAGAGUGAGCGGUCAAGACUGAUGUCAGUCUGCUUCAUGUGUGCAGAUCAAAAUCUCUGUCUUUAGAAAUUGAAAUAAGUUUAUCCAAAGUAUUUUGAGAAAUCAUUAAAAGUAAAAAAAGAAAGAAAGAAAGAAAGAAAGAAAGAAAGAAAGAAAGGAAGGAAGGAAGGAAGGAAGGAAGGAAGGAAGGAAGGAAGGAAAGGAAGGAAAAGAGAGACCCAAACUGAGUUCUAGUGUGGAUUUAAAUUGGAUCUUGGAUUUAAAUUCAAAUUCAAAUUCAAAUUCAAAAUUUAUUUGUCACAUACACAGUACGAUAUGCAGUGAAAUACUUAGACAACUGCUCGUGACCUAAAGAAAAAACGACUAUGAAUAGGAUAGGAAAUAAAUAGGAAAAUUAAAAUGAAGGGUAAAUUUCACUAGGAAAGAAUAAAUAAAAUAUAAAAAUUAAAGUUAAAAAUAAAAUAACUGUACAACAAAAUACACAAUAUACAAACACACAAUAUAGAAAUGUAUAAGAAUAUAUGAAGAAAUAUAGAACAACAACAGCAGCAGUACAAGUACUAAAUGGUAAUUAAGAAAUAUAAUGUCCAGGGUUGUGCAAUCCACAU
ensembl:lncRNA